AAGUGAUAGUGGAACGACACUGGAAAGGUCGACGAAACAGGGGUGAAAGUCCCGUACACAAAAUUGCGAGCAAUCCAUCAGUAUCCUGAGUACUGCGGGGCACGCUAACCCCUGCAGGAAACUGGGAGGCCCACCUCCCAAGGCUAAAUACUCUUGAAGACCGAUAGUGAACAAGUACCGUGAGGGGAAAGGUGAAAAGCACCCCUGUUAGGGGAGUGAAAUAGAACCUGAAACCGUGCGCUUACAAGCAGUCAAAAGCCCUAUGCCGCAAGGCAGGGUGAUGGCGUGCCUCUUGGAGAAUGAGCCGACGAGUUACUCUCAGUAGCAAGGUUAAGGCAGAAACAGCCGCAGCCAUAGCGAAAGCGUAGUCUGAAUAGGGGCGUUAAGUUGCUGGGAGUAGACCCGAAACUGGGGUGAGCUAUCCAUGGCCAGGUUGAAGCGGGAGUAUAUCUCGUGGAGGACCGAA
rnacentral:rRNA from 1 species